rnacentral:rRNA from 1 species
GACGAACGCUGGCGGCGUGCUUAACACAUGCAAGUCGAACGGAAAGGCCCUGCUUUUGUGGGGUGCUCGAGUGGCGAACGGGUGAGUAACACGUGAGUAACCUGCCCUUGACUUUGGGAUAACUUCAGGAAACUGGGGCUAAUACCGGAUAGGAGCUCCUGCUGCAUGGUGGGGGUUGGAAAGUUUCGGCGGUUGGGGAUGGACUCGCGGCUUAUCAGCUUGUUGGUGGGGUAGUGGCUUACCAAGGCUUUGACGGGUAGCCGGCCUGAGAGGGUGACCGGGCACGUUGGGACUGAGAGACGGCACAGACUCCUACGGGGGGCAGCAGUGGGGAAUAUUGCACAAUGGGCGGAAGCCUGAUGCAGCAACGCCGCGUGCGAGAUGACGGCCUUCGGGGUGUAAACCGCUUUCGCCUGUGACGAAGAGUGAGUGACGGUAAUGGGUAAAGAAGCACCGGCUAACUACGUG